rnacentral:tRNA from 1 species
CGCGGGGUAGCUCAGUUGGUUAGAGCACAUCACUCAUAAUGAUGGGGUCACAGGUUCGAAUCCCGUCCCCGCAACCA